GACGAACGCUGGCGGCGUGCUUAACACAUGCAAGUCGAACGGAAAGGCCCUGCUUUUGUGGGGUGCUCGAGUGGCGAACGGGUGAGUAACACGUGAGUAACCUGCCCUUGACUUUGGGAUAACUUCAGGAAACUGGGGCUAAUACCCGAUAGGAGCUCCUGCUGCAUGGUGUGGGUUGGAAAGUUUCGGCUGUUGGGGAUGGACUCGCGGCUUAUCAGCUUGUUGGUGGGGUAGUGGCUUACCAAGGCUUUGACGGGUAGCCGGCCUGAGAGGGUGACCGGCCACAUUGGGACUGCGAUACGGCCCAGACUCCUACGGGAGGCAGCAGUGGGGAAUAUUGCACAAUGGGCGGAAGCCUGAUGCAGCAACGCCGCGUGCGGGAUGACGGCCUUCGGGUUGUAAACCGCUUUCGCCUGUGACGAAGCGUGAGUGACGGUAAUGGGUAAAGAAGCACCGGCUAACUACGUG
rnacentral:rRNA from 1 species